rnacentral:rRNA from 1 species
AACGAACGCUGGCGGCAUGCCUAACACAUGCAAGUCGAACGAGACCUUCGGGUCGAGUGGCGCACGGGUGCGAAACGCGUGGGAACCUGCCCUUAGGUUCGGAAUAACUCCCCGAAAGGGGUGCUAAUACCGGAUAAUGUCUCCGGACCAAAGAUUUGUCGCCUUUGGAUGGGCCCGCGUUGGAUUAGCUAGUUGGUAGGGUAAAAGCCUACCAAGGCGACGAUCCAUAGCUGGUCUGAGAGGAUGAUCAGCCACACUGGGACUGAGACACGGCCCAGACUCCUACGGGAGGCAGCAGUGGGGAAUAUUGGACAAUGGGCGAAAGCCUGAUCCAGCAAUGCCGCGUGAGUGAUGAAGGCCUUAGGGUUGUAAAGCUCUUUUACCCGGGAUGAUAAUGACAGUACCGGGAGAAUAAGCUCCGGCUAACUCCGUG